UACGUAGGGUGCGAGCGUUAAUCGGAUUUACUGGGCGUAAAGCGUGCGCAGGCGGCCCGUUAAGACAGGUGUGAAAUCCCUGGGCUCAACCUAGGAAUUGCGCUUGUGACUGGCGGGCUCGAGUACGGUAGAGGGGGGUGGAAUUCCUGCUGUAGCAGUGAAAUGCGUAGAGAUCAGGAGGAACACCGAUGGCGAAGGCAGCCCCCUGGGCCUGUACUGACGCUCAUGCACGAAAGCGUGGGGAGCAAACAGG
rnacentral:rRNA from 1 species